rnacentral:rRNA from 1 species
ACCCACAGCCAUACUAGACAAAAUACACACAACCUUGGAAGCUAAGGAGUCCCUGGCCUUGCUAGGGUACUUGGAUGGGAAGCCAUGUAGGACUAUUAAGUGUAGUAGCUG